GGGCCCGUAGCUCAGCGGUAGAGCAACUGACUUUUAAUCAGUGGGUCGAAGGUUCGAUCCCUUCCGGGCUCA
rnacentral:tRNA from 1 species